AUUGAACGCUGGCGGCAGGCUUAACACAUGCAAGUCGAGCGAGCGGCGGACGGGUGAGUCAUGUCUGGGAAACUGCCUGAUGGAGGGGGAUAACUACUGGAAACGGUAGCUAAUACCGCAUACCAUCAGAUGUGCACAGAUGGGAUUAGCUAGUAGGUGGGGUAAUGGCUCACCUAGGCGACGGUCCCUAGCUGGUCUGAGAGGAUGACCAGCCACACUGGAACGGAGACCCGGUCCCAAGCCCUACGGGAGGCAGCGGUGGGGAAUAUUGCAGAUGGGGCGCAGGCCUGAUGCAGCCAUGCCGCGUGUGUGAAGAAGGCCUUCGGGGUGUAAAGCACUUUCAGCGAGGAGGCGUUACUCGCAGAAGAAGCACCGGCUAACUCCGUGCCAGCAGCCGCGGUAAUUC
rnacentral:rRNA from 1 species